GUCUUGUUGCAGGUUUGGAUGGCUGUGAAUGUCACCUCCCUAUGCAGACAGCAGUGACAGGAAUGGAGUGCAAUGCAGGAUGAAGCUGUAGCCUAAGCAGCUGGCUUAAGGUGUGGUCCUGGUCUGCUCUGGUCUCACUGAACUUUGGUGAGUAGAUUUUUGUCUUCAAGGUCAUGUGUAAGCAGAGAAUAGAGAUGUGUUCUGAGUCUUCCCCUGUGCUGAGAUCUGCCUUCCUAUAACUAAGAACCUGCACCCUGAAGAUGCUGAACUCUCAUGGGAGCUCUCCAAUCAAGAGUAUCACAAGGAGUGAUCAAUAGCUCCUGAAACUGGAGGUGCUGCUUUUCUGUGAGGCAGUAGGAUGAGUGGAGAACAUGGAAGACCUGAGGACUCUUCAGAGAUACCAUCUUUCUCAGAUCAAGAGUAUCAAAGGAUUAUGGCACACAUACUCUUGCUGAUCCAUUAUAUGGUACUCUGCCAAGCAUAACUGGUAAAAGGAAACAUAACAGAAAAUGAGUUUUGAGAAGCAGAGUAAAAGAUAGGACAGAACUGGACUCAGUGUCAAGUUUGGUGAAGCUACACCAUCUCCUUAGCUAUCAACAAUGAAUUUUUUAUUGUUAUGGUAUGGAUUUAUGAAGUUUUAUUAUAUGAGCUUAUUAGUUUUCUUCUAUUUUAAAAUAUGCUUGUGUUUGGAAAAAGAGACUAUAAGCUGCUUAUGCACUUA